GAUGAACGCUGGCGGUGUGCCUAAUACAUGCAAGUCGAGCGAACGGACGAGAAGCUUGCUUUUCUGAUGUUAGCGGCGGACGGGUGAGUAACACGUGGAUAACCUACCUAUAAGACUGGGAUAACUUCGGGAAACCGGAGCUAAUACCGGAUAAUAUUUUGAACCGCAUGGUUCAAAAGUGAAAGACGGUCUUGCUGUCACUUAUAGAUGGAUCCGCGCUGCAUUAGCUAGUUGGUAAGGUAACGGCUUACCAAGGCAACGAUGCAUAGCCGACCUGAGAGGGUGAUCGGCCACACUGGAACUGAGACACGGUCCAGACUCCUACGGGAGGCAGCAGUAGGGAAUCUUCCGCAAUGGGCGAAAGCCUGACGGAGCAACGCCGCGUGAGUGAUGAAGGUCUUCGGAUCGUAAAACUCUGUUAUUAGGGAAGAACAUAUGUGUAAGUAACUGUGCACAUUUUGACGGUACCUAAUCAGAAAGCCACGGCUAACUACGUG
rnacentral:rRNA from 1 species